rnacentral:rRNA from 1 species
UAGGGAAUCUUCGGCAAUGGGGGCAACCCUGACCGAGCAACGCCGCGUGAGUGAAGAAGGUUUUCGGAUCGUAAAGCUCUGUUGUAAGUCAAGAACGGGUGUGAGAGUGGAAAGUUCACACUGUGACGGUAGCUUACCAGAAAGGGACGGCUAACUACGUGCCAGCAGCCGCGGUAAUACGUAGGUCCCGAGCGUUGUCCGGAUUUAUUGGGCGUAAAGCGAGCGCAGGCGGUUUGAUAA